CUUUAAGUUAGUUUAUAUUUCAACAACAACAAAAAAUAAACCUGACCUAUUUUUGCACUGUAUUAUCCAUAUUGAUAUAUCAAAGUAGUUUAAUUAAAAAAAAAUCAUUGAUCCCCUUUUUUUUGCUGUUAGGUAAAAAUUAUAAUUUAAAACAAAUUCUUGACAAGUCACAAAGUGCAUUAAUUUCUGAACUCCAUUUAUGACAAUAGUAGUUAAAAUAUAGGAUGUAAGUAAAUUGUACCAAAAUUGGAGAUUUUACACCUUCUUGAUACAGAAGAUAUUUUCUUAAAAUAACUGCAUCACUGUAAAGCAGGCAGUAAGACAUUAACAAUGUAAUUCUGUGUUAAUAAAAAAAUAAAUAAAAGAAAAACUACCAAAGGGCAGGAAAUGAUUGUAAUAUUACAAAAAAAAAAAUGUCUAUCAAGAGACUUAAAGAGUGAAUUAACUUAUAGCUCUUUUUGUGGUGGCUAAGAAUUGGAAAUAAAGGAAAAUCCAUCAACUGGGGAAUGUUAUAUAUAGCUUCUAUAUAUUACUGUGAUAUCAGAAUCCUGUGAUAUCAGAAUAUCAGAAUAAUAUAUUAAAGUUAUAUAUUACUGUGAUAUCAGAAAUGACAGGUAGGAUAAUUCCAGAAAAACAUGGAAAGACUUACAUGAACAGAUUCAAAAUGAGCAGAAACAGAACAUUUUUUGAAGCAAUGUUAUUUGAUGAACAGUGAAUGACUUAGUUAUUCUCAGCAAUAAAAUGAUUGAAAACAAUGCCAAAGGACUAAUGAUGCAUAUUACAUGCCUCCAGAAAAAGAAUUGAUAUUGCUUGAAUAAAGACUGAAUUAUGCUUUUUUUUUUUACUUUGUUUCAUCUUGUACAAAGUGACUACUAUGGAAAUGUUUUACAUAUUUGUACAUGUAUAACCUACAUUUGAUUCCUUACUGUCUUGGAGGGGGAAGGGAGGAAAAGAGAAUUUAGAACUCAAAACAUUAUUUUUAAUUGAAAAAAGUUAAUUAACUUAGAAAAACAAUUUUACAAAGAAUUGAUUAAAUCAACAGCUGUCACUAUAAAAAAAAAACCUUUAAAUAUGGUGGGAGAAAUUUAGAAACUGAGUACCUUUUUUAGGUUAAUAUUAACACAAAAGAUUUUCUUCAAAAGAGUAUUUGAAAAAUACCUCUAACCUCAUAAAAAUUGCACAAUUUUUAAACACCUCAACUGUCAAGAGAUGUAAAUACAUACAUAUAGAUUUCAUUAUAUUAAAAAUAACUGGAAUCCAAGUUAGGAGACUACUUGGACAAAAUUCCUUGGAAAAUAAUAAAGGAAUUAUGCAUGGCAGUAAUUUUGGAGUGUGACAACAACCUUGGACUAAGUUAAAUCCCUCUCCCCACAAACUUCCUUUAAUUAGCAUUACAAGUUUCUUUGAACCAAUUAUGCACAUACAUAUACAAAAUUCCUUGGAAAAUAAUAAAGGAAUUAUGCAUGGAAGUAAUUUUGGAGUGUGACAACAACCUUGGACUAAGUUAAACCCCUCUCCCCACAAACUUCCUUUAAUUAGCAUUACAAGUUCCUUUGAACCAAUUAUGCACAUACAUAUACAAAAUUCCUUGGAAAAUAAUAAAGGAAUUAUGCAUGGCAGUAAUUUUGGAGUGUGACAACAACCUUGGACUAAGUUAAACCCCUCUCCCCACAAACUUCCUUUAAUUAGCAUUACAAGUUCCUUUGAACCAAUAAUGCACAUACAUAUACAAAAUUCCUUGGAAAAUAAUAAAGGAAUUAUGCAUGGAAGUAAUUUUGGAGUGUGACAACAACCUUGGACUAAGUUAAACCCCUCUCCCCACAAACUUCCUUUAAUUAGCAUUACAAGUUCCUUUGAACCAAUUAUGCAACAUACAUAUACAAAAUUCCUUGGAAAAUAAUAAAGGAAUUAUGCAUGGAAGUAAUUUUGGAGUGUGACAACAACCUUGGACUAAGUUAAACCCCUCUCCCCACAAACUUCCUUUAAUUAGCAUUACAAGUUCCUUUGAACCAAUUACACACACACAUAUAUGUUAUAUUUUAUAUAUAUGCAUACUUAUUGCUAUGUUUGGAGUGUGACAACACCUUGGACCAUGUUUAAUCCCCCCCAUAAACUUCUUUAAAUGUAAACCAAUUAUGCACAUAUCUAUAUACGUAUAUGUAUUAUAUGUUAUAUAUGCACCCUUUUUAUCAUAACCAAUUAUGCACAUAUCUAUAUACGUAUAUGUAUUAUAUGUUAUAUAUGCACCCUUUUUAUCAUAUGGAUUAGAAUCCAUUAAAGUGAGCAUAUUUAGUUGACCUAACUAAUCUGAAAUUAUCUGAUAAUGUAGAAAAAAAUUCAACAAGUUUUGCAGUAGCAAGUAUUUUAUAUAUAUAAUAUAUAUAUAUAACUUAUGGUUACCAAAUUCCUUUACACGAUUAACAAGUUACACAUAUGAUAAAAGACUUAACAUUCACUUUAGCAUAACUUUCUUAUUAACAAAGUCUUACUGCAUUUUUCCUCCAUCAUUUAUAUCAUGGUAUUUAAUGUCAGGUGUCUCCCUUUGAACUAAGCUAAUAUGCCAAACAAAGCAAAAACCAAAAGAUAAAUGUUUAAGACAAUUAACAUAACUGAAAUUUAAGCAUCAACCACCCUGUCAUUUAUUUUGAAGCCUCUAUUUCUUCCAUCUUCUAUUAUUAGUAGUCUUGCAUCCCAUUAAGUUGGAGAAUUACAGAUCAUCUGGAGAUAUCGGUGGAAACAGAUCAGAGGAAACAAAUGACUGGCCCAAUGCAUUUCUUAAUUCGAGAAGAUAAAUCUUGUUCUACUGGCAGUGGCCAACCUUUCAGACAUGUUCCUGACUUUAAGGUAACAGUAAAACCCUCUGAAGAAAAGCAGGAGGCCAAUCAGGAGGAAUAGCCACCACAGCCAGUACUGUCCAUUGAAGUAUCCAGUGAAGUAGUCAGAGAAGCGGACGAUGAGGAUCCACUUGGUCAAGGAGAGGCCGAGGCCGCAGAGGGCUCCGUACCUGCCGGCUAUGGAGUUGGUGGUGCAGAAGGAUAAGCAAAAGCCGACCCAGUUGAAGAUGAAGGCCAUGAAGAAGGCCACCAAGAAGAUGCCGUCGUUGCCCACCCGCAGCUGGUCUGAGUCCGAAGAGGCGGCCGAGUCGUCCCUGGGAGCGAAGUCGUCUUCUCUCUGCGUGGGCUCCCCGGAGGCCACGGCGCUGGCGGCCAGGGCGGCUGCUUUGGCCCUCUCCGCUUCGUCGUAGGUGGGCAGAGACGUGGCCACGCUAUAGGGGGGCGGCACGGGGAAGGGCUCGCAGAGAUCUUCCGUUUCCGAGGCGGUCUCCGCCUCCGCCGAGCCCAGGCCGUAGGGUGGCGGGGAGGGGCUCCAUUUGGAGAAGGACAGCGCGGGGGCAGAAGGCGAGGGCGUCGGCGUCGGCGUCGGCGUCGGCCGGGGUGUGAUCUGCGUGGACGUGGAAGGCUGCUCCAAGGCCGGGGACUCCGGGUCAUUCUCUUCGUUGCGAAGCACUUGGUAGCCGUUGCUCACCGAAGGGCGAACUUCCAUCCUGCCCGGCCCGGGAUUGGAGACCGAGGUGCUUCCCCCGGCCUGUCACACCUCGGCCGCCUCGCGCCGCUCUCCGCCCCUUCUGCCUCGAGGGCGCCCCCUCCCCACCCCCGCCCCGCGGCGUCCCUUCCGCCUCUAUUGAUGCUGCCGCCGCGGCCGCGUGACGGGCCGCCUCACUCCCCGCCGCGGCCUCCGCCGCCUCAGCGGAGUCCUCCGCGCGCGCCUUCCCUUAGUGCUGCGGGGAAUCACCGGGCCGGCAGGCGAGCGCGCCUUUGUCCGGGGGCGUGCUAGGGCCCGCGCGGCGCUCCUUCCGCCUGCUUGCGAGGGGGCCAGAACUACUUAGUGCGGCCGCAUGCGGGCGCCUCUGGAAGCCUCCUCCUAAGCCCUCUGUAACGAAGCUGCACUGCGGAGGAGCGGACGUGCCGGGAGACUGCUCAGAGAGGUCCUUUAGAAUUCGCUGGCUCUUAAGUUAUCUCCAGGGACUCCUCUCAAAGGCUCAUGGUGCUCAUGGACCCCUUUUUAAAAUAAUGUUUGCAGAUGCGUAAAAUACGUAGGAAUGCAAAGGAACCCUAUCAUUCGGAAAUAUAGAAUCCAAGAAAGAGAGAAAGACUCUCAGAUGCCAACAUGUAGAAGAGUCAGAACCUUCAUCACAUAGCUUUCCCCAGCUUAUUACACAAGAAAUUUAUGGAAGUUUCCCCUUGGAUGAAUCAGAUUUUAAAUGAAAACUGAUGACCAGAGAGAACUUACUUGCCCAAGGUCACAUGAAAAGGAAGGCAAGAAGUUAAAAUUCUGAAAAGACUAUCCUGUAAGAACACUAGAAAAGGAUUGAAAAUAAUUCCUUAAAAAUAAAAUUGAGGAAAUGGAAACUAAUGACUUCAUGAAAAAAUCAAGAUACAAUAAAGCAAAACCAAAAAAAAAAAUGAAAGAAUUGGAAAAAAUGUGAAAUAUCUCACUGGAAAAACAACUGACUUGGGAAAUACAUCCAGGAGAGAUAAUUUUAAAAUUAUUGGUGUACCUGAAAGUCAUGAUCAACAAAAGACCAUUGACAUCAUCAUUCAAGAAAUGAUCAAGGAAAACUAUAGAAAUUAAAGGAAUUCACCGCUUCUCCUGAAAGAAAUCCCAAAAUAAAAACUCCUAGGAAUAUUAUAACCAAAUACCAGAACUCCCAGUUCUGGUUCCACAUAUUUAAAAGAAUCCAAAAGAAGCAAUUCAAAUAUUGUAGCCAUAAUCAGGAUAAUACAAAAAUUUGCAGCUUUUACAAUAAAGUACUGGAGGGCUUGGAAUAUGAUAUUCUGGAGAGCAGUAGAGCUUGGAUUGCAACUAAGAAUCACCUACCCAACAAGACUGAGUCUAAUCCUUCAGAGGAAAAGAUGGUCAUUCAAUGAAACAGGAUUUUUGAGCAUUUGUGAUGAAAAGACCAAAGCUGAAUGGAAAAUUUGAUUUUCAAAUACAGGACUUAGGAGAAUCAUAAAGAGGAGCAGCUCAUUCCCUUAGGGGUAGUCCCUAAUGUUUGUCAACUAGAACAACAGAAUAACAUGAACUGGCAAAGAGUCAGAUGCAGAUAUGUUAUAUGACUGGAACUAUUCCCAUGUCUUUUUUUGACCAUCAGGAAGCAGAGAAGAACUUAGGAAGGAAGUACUGAUGAAGAGCAAUGUCUGCUACCAUCUUCUCAGCACAGAAGAAAGCUGCAGGAGGCUAGCAGCAUAAAUCAAAGGAAAGACCCAUGGAGAACAUCAUCAAUGUAGCUGAAAUCUCACUUACCCUAACUGGAACUUUAGCCAAAAAUUCUGUGGAGUCAGUUUUUCUUUUUCUUAAAAAUAACUUCUAAGAUGAUCAAGGAUAUGAACAGG
ensembl:lncRNA